GUAGGGAAUAUUGGGCAAUGGUCGGAAGACUGACCCAGCCAUGCCGCGUGCAGGAAGACGGCCCUCUGGGUUGUAAACUGCUUUUAUCUGGGAAGAAAAAGGCCAUGCGUGGCAAAUUGCCGGUACCAGAUGAAUAAGCACCGGCUAACUCCGUGCCAGCAGCCGCGGUAAUACGGAGGGUGCGAGCGUUGUCCGGAUUUAUUGGGUUUAAAGGGUGCGUAGGCGGGUGAUUAAGUCAGCGGUGAAAGACUUCGGCUUAACCGGAGCAGUGCCGUUGAUACUGGUUGGCUUGAGUGUCGGAGGGGUACAUGGAAUUGAUGGUGUAGCGGUGAAAUGCAUAGAUACCAUCAGGAACACCGAUAGCGAAGGCAUUGUACUGGCCGACAACUGACGCUGAUGCACGAAAGUGUGGGGAUCGAACAGGAUUAGAUACCCGUGUAGUCC
rnacentral:rRNA from 1 species